ensembl:snoRNA
AUCUUUUUGUGGUUCAUAAGUGUGAUGAUUAGGUUUUCACACAAUUAUGUGAGUGGUGCCACCCAUAAACCUUCUUAUGAUGUCAGCAUAUUAGCUGUAUAAUA